AUUGAACGCUGGCGGCAGGCCUAGCACAUGCAAGUCGAACGGUAACAGGAAGAAGCUUGCUUCUUUGCUGACGAGUGGCGGACGGGUGAGUAAUGUCUGGGAAACUGCCUGAUGGAGGGGGAUAACUACUGGAAACGGUAGCUAAUACCGCAUAACGUCGCAAGACCAAAGAGGGGGACCUUCGGGCCUCUUGCCAUCGGAUGUGCCCAGAUGGGAUUAGCUAGUAGGUGGGGUAACGGCUCACCUAGGCGACGAUCCCUAGCUGGUCUGAGAGGAUGACCAGCCACACUGGAACUGAGACACGGUCCAGACUCCUACGGGAGGCAGCAGUGGGGAAUAUUGCACAAUGGGCGCAAGCCUGAUGCAGCCAUGCCACGUGUAUGAAGAAGGCCUUCGGGUUGUAAAGUACUUUCAGCGGGGAGGAAGGGAGUAAAGUUAAUACCUUUGCUCAUUGACGUUACCCGCAGAAGAAGCACCGGCUAACUCCGUG
rnacentral:rRNA from 1 species